UUGACCUCGGAUCAAGUAGGGAUACCC
rnacentral:rRNA from 1 species